rnacentral:rRNA from 1 species
CAACCCUCGAACCCCUCCGGGGGAUCGGCGUUGGGGAUCGGGACCCCUCACACGGGUGCCGGCCCCUAAAUACAGUGGCGGUCUCGCCGCAGCCUCUCCUGCGCAGUAGUUUGCACAACUCGCACCGGGAGCGCGGCGCGUCCACGUCCGUAAAACACCCAACUUUCUGAAAUG